CAGUCAACAGUUUCGGCCCUUUUCCUGCUGCGAAAAAUCCAGAAUCCUGUCGGAGGACUCUCCGUGGUGCGCAUGCGCGACGUUGCUACGCUCCGCUGCACAGAAACAGCAACAGAACACAGCAGCUGCAGGUCUGCUGCAAACAACCGAGAUUUUUUUUUUUUUUAGGAUUCUGGAGGCCCCGGCGCGUGCAGUGCGAUGACGUCACGCAGCUACUCUAGGCAGCAGUGGGGAGCGGCUCACAGCGCUCUACAGCGCCUCCUUCAGGAGGAGGCUCCAGCAGAGAGCAAGUUGGGG